UGCCCCCUGGCCCAGCUGGUUAAGGCGUGUGACUGUUAAUCACAAGAUCGUGAGUUCGAGCCUCACGGGGGCAG
rnacentral:tRNA from 1 species